rnacentral:rRNA from 1 species
UACAGAGGUCUCAAGCGUUGUUCGGAUUCAUUGGGCGUAAAGGGUGUGUAGGUGGCGCCGUAAGUCGGGGUGUGAAAUUUCGGAGCUUAACUCCGAAACUGCAUUCGAUACUGCGGUGCUUUGAGGACUGGGAGAGGAGACUGGAAUUCAUGGGUGUAGCAGUGAAAUGCGUAGAGAUCAUGAGGAAGACCAGUGGCGAAGGCGGGUCUCUGGACAGUUCCUGACACUGAGACACGAAGGCCAGGGGAGCAAACGGG